UCUAUAAUAUAUGUAUGUCCUAUGCAGUAUUUGGGACAUAUAUAUACUAAAA
rnacentral:pre_miRNA from 1 species